CAGGAACCAGCCAGGAAGAAGCUGACCAGAGACUGGGAGUGUGCACAGGAGAAAGCCAAGCACCACUUAAGAGACUUUAGGAAAAUGCACGAAGGAGCAUCUCAUCUCACCCUGGGAGUCGGAGAGACAGCACCAGCUGGUAACUAGGCCUCUCAGCUCCUAGGACAUCCAAGGUUCUGCUGCUACUGGGAGACACAAAACGUAAGUCCAAGAAUCCCAACCAGUGAGCUCAGCACCUCGGGGGAGAAUGAAGCAGCUGGACAUUUAAGAUGAGGUUUUAGCAAAUGUUGGCGAGGAUGUGGAGAAGGGGAACCCUCUUGCACUGUUGGUGGGAAUGCAAGCUGGUGCAGCUACUCUGGAAAGCAGUGUGGAGGUUCCUCAAGAAGUUAAA